AGUCGGCCUGUCCCGCAGCCGCGGUCGCUGCUAGAGUUCCUAGAGAGGCCACUAGAACCGGACCGCAGCCGCCAACAUCUGGUACCUCUCUAAAAAGGCCUCCAGCUACCGUAACAGACACCGCGACGAGUACCGCGAGUAGGACCGCCGCUCGAGCGAUCGCUCGCUGAGGACCUCCCGUGCGUCCUAGACCGACAACUCCAUCUCGCCCUCCUCUCGCAGCUCCUAGACCUGCCCCAGGACGAGCUUGACCUGCUGCCCCCUCUUCCCGACGUAGAGCUAGAACUAGAAGAGCGCGAGGUGCCACUCGAACGGAAGGAACCACCACUCGAACUUCUCGAGCAGGAGCCACCGCAGCUGUGUCUACGGCAACUGUAGCGUCUAGAGCGGGAAUCCCCUGUACCCGUCGUCGCAGACCUACUACCCCAGCCUCGCCUGCUCCAACUGCUUGAACCUCAUCUGCUCGAGGUGGAACAGCUGGAGGAGCCGCUGUUUCUCCCUUAUCUACUCCAGCGUUUACCGGACGCUCAGGAACUGCCACCCCUAGGGCCGCUCGAGCUCCUUCGCGAGCCACCCCUACAUCAGCGCCGCGACCUUCAUCCGCAACGGGAAGAACGGCUGCGACUACUGCCACAUCAGCUGCGGGUCGACGGACUCCAGGAGGUACGCCCGGAGCCGGAAGAACUCGUGCAACAACAACUUCCGCGGCGUCUCUGGUGCGAGCGGCCACUCCUGCUGCUAGCGCUGCGCGAACUGCCGCGCGACCGCCCACUCCCCGUCCAGCUACAGGAGGCUGACCUAGAGGACCAAGUACAACAUCUCGUGGAGGUGGUCUCGGAGGCUCUUCCCCGCUCUCCUCUGGUGCCGGAGGACGCGCGCUGCCUGGAACCGCCGCCGGUGGUCGAAGUAGCGGAGGCACUAGAAGACGCACAACGCCUGUCUCAGCUACGCCAAUGCCUCCAGGGCCUCCCUCGUGGCGUGGUGGUCCGACGACGACGGCCACCUCCGCGCCGCCGCCCACCUCCACGACCGUUCGCGCCUCCUCCUGGUGCGCCACCUCUCCACCCUCGUGCUGUACCGAUCGAUC
rnacentral:rRNA from 1 species